rnacentral:tRNA from 1 species
GUGACAAUAGCUCAAGAUAGAGCAUUGGUCUUGUAAGUCAAAGGUUGGGUUGAAUAGGGCCCUUGUCACU